rnacentral:rRNA from 1 species
UACAGAGGUCCCAAGCGUUGUUCGGAUUCACUGGGCGUAAAGGGUGCGCAGGUGGGUUGGCAAGUUCGAUGUGAAAGCCCCGGGCUUAACCCGGGAAUGGCAUUGGAUACUGUUGAUCUGGAGGGUCGGAGGGGGGACUGGAAUUCUUGGUGUAGCAGUGAAAUGCGUAGAUAUCAAGAGGAACACCAGUGGCGAAGGCGGGUCCCUGGACGAUACCUGACACUGAGGCACGAAAGCCAAGGGAGCAAACAGG